rnacentral:rRNA from 1 species
GUCAGCUCGUGUCGUGAGAUGUUGGGUUAAGUCCCGUAACGAGCGCAACCCUUGUCCUUAGUUACCAGCACGUUAUGGUGGGCACUCUAAGGAGACUGCCGGUGACAAACCGGAGGAAAGGUGGGGAUGACGUCAAGUCAUCAUGGCCCUUACGGCCUGGGCUACACACGUGCUACAAUGGUCGGUACAAAGGGUUGCCAAGCCGCGAGGUGGAGCUAAUCCCAUAAAACCGAUCGUAGUCCGGAUCGCAGUCUGCAACUCGACUGCGUGAAGUCGGAAUCGCUAGUAAUCGUGAAUCAGAAUGUCACGGUGAAUACGUUCCCGGGCCUU